rnacentral:rRNA from 1 species
UACGUAGGAGGCAAGCGUUGUCCGGAAUCACUGGGCGUAAAGCGCGUGUAGGUGGUGGGACAAGUCUGCUGUGGAAGCGCCUGGCUUAACCGGGCGAGGUCGGCGGAAACUGUUCGACUCGAGGACGGUAGAGGGGGGUGGAAUUCCCGGUGUAGUGGUGAAAUGCGUAGAGAUCGGGAGGAACACCUGUGGCGAAGGCGGCCCCCUGGGCCGGCCCUGACACUGAGACGCGAAGGCGUGGGGGAGCGAACGGG